CAUUACCGAACUGUCAACACGGGUUGUUGCUGGCCCUCGACUGGGGGCAUGUGCACGCUCUGUUUACACAUCCACUCACACCUGUGCACCCUCUGUAGUUCUAUGGUUUGGGAGGCCCUGCCUCCCUCCUGUAGCUCUACGUCUUUACACACACACACCGAUAGUAGAUGUCAUAUGGAAGUGUUUUUUUGCGUCUAACGCGAUACAAUACAACUUUCAGCAACGGAUCUCUUGGCUCUCGCAUCGAUGAAGAACGCAGCGAAAUGCGAUAAGUAAUGUGAAUUGCAGAAUUCAGUGAAUCAUCGAAUCUUUGAACGCACCUUGCGCCCCUCGGACAUUCCUUGGGGGCAUGCCUGUUUGAGUAUCAUGAACACCUCACCUCUCAUGGCUUGCCGUGAUGAGCUUGAACUCUGGAGGUUUGCUGGCCAUGUGGUCUGCUCCUCUCAAAUGAAUCANCUUGCCAGUGUUUGGUGGCAUCACGGGUGUGAUAACUAUCUACGCUCGUGGUCAUCUGCCAGGUAACCCUCANCAAUGGAGUUCACUGGGGCUCAAAAAUG
rnacentral:rRNA from 1 species